GUGUGGUAUACGUGUAACCUAUCUCUCUAGAACAGCACUAACCCAGCCGCCCCCCCAAAGCUCUUUCCUCAGACUAAUCUCUCUCUCUCAAUCACCCCAAGCUAUUAUUGAUAACAAUCCCUCCCUCUCUGAUAGUCGCUGCCAUUGACGUCUGACCCCUUUAGUAUUUUCCCUCUAUUCAGUAUCACUGAUGCUAUAACUGCUCUACACUUAUGCCUCUGCAGAUAGAGUCUUGCAUUGAUUGGCUGAGUGACUGAGAGCCGAUAAGAUAGCUGCAGGGAACACAGUGCAUAACAUAUAAUAGAUGUGAUAUUUUCAAGCCAUUUAAGAAUAGAAUACUUCACAGUUAAAAUCAGUUCAACACUGAAGAUCUUCCAUGAAAAAGGAGGGCAAUAUGUAUUUUGUGUAAUUUGAGACACAAUUAGUUUUCACAGCAAAAUGAAAGGCACAUGGUAUGAAUUGUUAUUACAGCGAAGGCUGGGCUUGUUGUGUACCUUCCUUUUUUCGGGGAUUAUUUGUGUCUUAAGUAAUGAGUGAGCUUUGCAUCAACACAUGAAACACAUUCAUUCUGUCAACAGGUAGACAUACACCAACACAUUCUGUCAAUAGGUAGACAUACACCAACACAUUCUGUCAACAGGUAGACAUACACCAACACAUUCUGUCAAUAGGUAGACAUACACCAACACAUUCUGUCAAUAGGUAGACAUACACCAACACAUUCUGUCAAUAGGUAGACAUACACCAACACAUUCUGUCAACAGGUAG
rnacentral:lncRNA from 1 species